AUUGAACGCUGGCGGCAGGCCUAACACAUGCAAGUCGAACGAGUGGCGGACGGGUGAGUAAUGUCUGGGAAACUGCCCGAUGGAGGGGGAUCACUACUGGAAACGGUAGCUAAUCCCGCAUACCCUCCGCUGUGCCCAGAUGGGAUUAGCUAGUAGGUGAGGUAACGGCUCACCUAGGCGACGAACCCUAGCUGGCCUGAGAGGAUGACCAGACACACUGGAACUGAGACACGGUCCAGACUCCUACGGGAGGCAGCAUUGGGGAAUAUUGCACAAUGGGCGAAAGCCUGAUGCAGCCAUGCCUCGUGUAUGAAGAAGGCCUUCGGGUUGUAAAGUACUUUCAGCGGGGAGGCGUUACUCGCAGAAGAAGCACCGGCUAACUCCGUGCCAGCAGCCGCGGUAAUUC
rnacentral:rRNA from 1 species